rnacentral:misc_RNA from 1 species
UUUUAUCUCCCCGGAAGGAAGAGGAUUGCAAAACAGGAAGUGAACUUUUUCAAGAUGUUGAAGUUUUUGAGAUGAAUUUUGAACGCUCCACACCUGAAAGUAUAAGUGCCACAAGGCGGUCCAAGACACAAAAUUCAGUUCCUACAAAUCAAUGUGCAAGAUUUGGUAGAAGUCUUAGUGGACUGUCUGUAAAAAGGUCCUUAGUCGGUUCAUUCGAGGAGUCACUAUUAUCUGGUCGUUUGACAUCCAGUGUAGUCAGCCAGAGAAUUGAUGGUUUUCUUGCCGUCCUUAGUAUCACUGGUGGAAAUUUCUCGCCACAUCCUCAGAAACUUCCAUUUGCUGUAACUAGCGUAAAUGGUGAUAACUUCUUGCUUUAUUACUCAUCAAUAGAUCUUGGAAGACCAUGUAGUGAUGGUAAAGGCUCACAAAUCAGGAACUCUAGCACUAAUAAUUUACAUACAAACAAGGGCCGCCUACGUAUACCCAUAAAAGGGCGCAUACAACUGGUAUUCUGCUUGUAUCCUCUUAGCUUGCUUGUACAUCUGUGAACAUGCUUAUGUUGGAAAUUUCCUUAUUCUUAAGGAGUCUAAUUUUCAUAUAAACGAG